rnacentral:rRNA from 1 species
CGGCACGGGUGCGUAACGCGUGGGAAUCUGCCCUUGGGUCUGGAAUAACAGUUAGAAAUGACUGCUAAUACCGGAUGAUGACUUCGGUCCAAAGAUUUAUCGCCCGGGGAUGAGCCCGCGUCGGAUUAGCUAGUUGGUGAGGUAAAAGCUCACCAAGGCGACGAUCCGUAGCUGGUCUGAGAGGAUGAUCAGCCACACUGGGACUGAGACACGGCCCAG